CCCUUAGAUGUCCUGGGCCGCACGCGCGCUACACUGACAUGUUCAACAAGCCUCCUAGUUCGACAGGAUUUGGGAAAUCUUUGAACGCAUGUCGUGAUAGGGAUAGAUCAUUGCAAUUAUCGAUCUUGAACGAGGAAUUCCUAGUAAACGCGAGUCAUCAGCUCGCAUUGAUUACGUCCCUGCCCUUUGUACACACCGCCCGUCGCACCUACCGAUUGAAUGUUUCGGUGAAGAUUCCGGAUAGGACUUUUUUGAUUUAUUUCAAUUUUGUCUUAAAAGCUAUCUAAACCUCAACAUUUAGAGGAAGGUGAAGUCGUAACA
rnacentral:rRNA from 1 species